CUCAAGGAAGCGCUUUGUCCACAUGGACAGAAAACGCGUCUUUGAGUGCACGCUUUGUGUCCACGUGGACAAAGCGCUUCCUUAAGG
rfam:Gossypium hirsutum cultivar TM-1 chromosome 18, whole genome shotgun sequence